GCGGGAAUAGCUCAGUGGUAGAGCGCUAGCCUUCCAAGCUGGAUGUCGCGGGUUCAAAUCCCGUUUCCCGCUCCA
rnacentral:tRNA from 2 species